UUUUCAGGGGCUCUAGCCAUAUGGUACU
rnacentral:piRNA from 1 species